CAGACUCCUACGGGAGGCAGCAGUGGGGAAUAUUGCACAAUGGGCGAAAGCCUGAUGCAGCGACGCCGCGUGGGGGAUGACGGCCUUCGGGUUGUAAACUCCUUUCGCUAGGGACGAAGCUUUUUGUGACGGUACCUAGAUAAGAAGCACCGGCUAACUACGUGCCAGCAGCCGCGGUAAUACGUAGGGUGCGAGCGUUGUCCGGAAUUACUGGGCGUAAAGGGCUCGUAGGUGGUUUGUCGCGUCGUCUGUGAAAUUCCGGGGCUUAACUCCGGGCGUGCAGGCGAUACGGGCAUAACUUGAGUACUGUAGGGGUAACUGGAAUUCCUGGUGUAGCGGUGAAAUGCGCAGAUAUCAGGAGGAACACCGAUGGCGAAGGCAGGUUACUGGGCAGUUACUGACGCUGAGGAGCGAAAGCAUGGGUAGCGAACAGGAUUAGAUACCCUGGUAGUCCAUGCCGUAAACGGUGGGCGCUAGGUGUGAGGGUCUUUUCACGACUUUCGUGCCGUAGCUAACGCAUUAAGCGCCCCGCCUGGGGAGUACGGCCGCAAGGCUAAAACUCAAAGGAAUUGACGGGGGCCCGCACAAGCGGCGGAGCAUGUGGAUUAAUUCGAUGCAACGCGAAGAACCUUACCUGGGCUUGACAUACACCGGAUCGGGCUAGAGAUAGUCUUUCCCUUUGUGGCUGGUGUACAGGUGGUGCAUGGUUGUCGUCAGCUCGUGUCGUGAGAUGUUGGGUUAAGUCCCGCAACGAGCGCAACCCUUGUCUUAUGUUGCCAGCAUUUGGUUGGGGACUCAUGAGAGACUGCCGGGGUCAACUCGGAGGAAGGUGGGGAUGACGUCAAAUCAUCAUGCCCCUUAUGUCCAGGGCUUCACACAUGCUACAAUGGUCGGUACAACGCGCAGCGACACUGUGAGGUGGAGCGAAUCGCUGAAAGCCGGCCUUAGUUCGGAUUGGGGUCUGCAACUCGACCCCAUGAAGUCGGAGUCGCUAGUAAUCGCAGAUCAGCAACGCUGCGGUGAAUACGUUCCCGGGCCUUGUACACACCGCCCGUCACGUCAUGAAAGUUGGUAACACCCGAAGCCGGUGGCCCAAACUUGUUAGGGAGCCGUCGAAGGUGGGAUCGGCGAUUGGGACGAAGUCGUAACAAGGUACCCGUACCGGAAGGUGCGGGUGGAUCACCUCCUUU
rnacentral:rRNA from 1 species